rnacentral:rRNA from 1 species
AGAGUUUGAUCCUGGCUCAGGAUGAACGCUAGCUACAGGCUUAACACAUGCAAGUCGAGGGGCAGCAUGGUCUUAGCUUGCUAAGACUGAUGGCGACCGGCGCACGGGUGAGUAACACGUAUCCAACCUGCCGUCUACUCUUGGACAGCCUUCUGAAAGGAAAAUUAAUACAAGAUGGCAUCAUGAGUCCGCAUGUUCACAUGAUUAAAGGUAUUCCGGUAGACGAUGGGGAUGCGUUCCAUUAGAUAGUAGGCGGGGUAACGGCCCACCUAGUCUUCGAUGGAUAGGGGUUCUGAGAGGAAGGUCCCCCACAUUGGAACUGAGACACGGUCCAAACUCCUACGGGAGGCAGCAGUGAGGAAUAUUGGUCAAUGGGCGAGAGCCUGAACCAGCCAAGUAGCGUGAAGGAUGACUGCCCUAUGGGUUGUAAACUUCUUUUAUAAAGGAAUAAAGUCGGGUAUGCAUACCCGUUUGCAUGUACUUUAUGAAUAAGGAUCGGCUAACUCCGUGCCAGCAGCCGCGGUAAUACGGAGGAUCCGAGCGUUAUCCGGAUUUAUUGGGUUUAAAGGGAGCGUAGAUGGAUGUUUAAGUCAGUUGUGAAAGUUUGCGGCUCAACCGUAAAAUUGCAGUUGAUACUGGAUAUCUUGAGUGCAGUUGAGGCAGGCGGAAUUCGUGGUGUAGCGGUGAAAUGCUUAGAUAUCACGAAGAACUCCGAUUGCGAAGGCAGCCUGCUAAGCUGCAACUGACAUUGAGGCUCGAAAGUGUGGGUAUCAAACAGGAUUAGAUACCCUGGUAGUCCACACGGUAAACGAUGAAUACUCGCUGUUUGCGAUAUACGGCAAGCGGCCAAGCGAAAGCGUUAAGUAUUCCACCUGGGGAGUACGCCGGCAACGGUGAAACUCAAAGGAAUUGACGGGGGCCCGCACAAGCGGAGGAACAUGUGGUUUAAUUCGAUGAUACGCGAGGAACCUUACCCGGGCUUAAAUUGCAGAUGAAUUACGGUGAAAGCCGUAAGCCGCAAGGCAUCUGUGAAGGUGCUGCAUGGUUGUCGUCAGCUCGUGCCGUGAGGUGUCGGCUUAAGUGCCAUAACGAGCGCAACCCUUGUUGUCAGUUACUAACAGGUUCUGCUGAGGACUCUGACAAGACUGCCAUCGUAAGAUGUGAGGAAGGUGGGGAUGACGUCAAAUCAGCACGGCCCUUACGUCCGGGGCUACACACGUGUUACAAUGGGGGGUACAGAGGGCCGCUACCACGCGAGUGGAUGCCAAUCCCCAAAACCUCUCUCAGUUCGGACUGGAGUCUGCAACCCGACUCCACGAAGCUGGAUUCGCUAGUAAUCGCGCAUCAGCCACGGCGCGGUGAAUACGUUCCCGGGCCUUGUACACACCGCCCGUCAAGCCAUGGGAGCCGGGGGUACCUGAAGUGCGUAACCGCGAGGAGCGCCCUAGGGUAAAACUGGUGACUGGGGCUAAGUCGCAACAAGGUA